UACAGAGGUCUCAAGCGUUGUUCGGAUUCAUUGGGCGUAAAGGGUGCGUAGGCGGCGCGGUAAGUCGGGUGUGAAAUCUCGGGGCUUAACUCCGAAACUGCAUUCGAUACUGCCGUGCUUUGAGGACUGGAGAGGAGACUGGAAUUUACGGUGUAGCGGUGAAAUGCGUAGAUAUCGUAAGGAAGACCAGUGGCGAAGGCGGGGU
rnacentral:rRNA from 1 species